UACGUAGGGUGCGAGCGUUGUCCGGAAUUAUUGGGCGUAAAGAGCUUGUAGGCGGUUUGUCGCGUCUGCCGUGAAAAUUCGAGGCUCAACCUCGAACUUGCGGUGGGUACGGGCAGACUAGAGUGUGGUAGGGGAGACUGGAAUUCCUGGUGUAGCGGUGAAAUGCGCAGAUAUCAGGAGGAACACCGAUGGCGAAGGCAGCCCCCUGGGCUGAGAUUGACGCUCAGGCACGAAAGCGUGGGGAGCAAACAGG
rnacentral:rRNA from 1 species